UACAUUUGAGUGAGUGGCGAACUGGUGAGUAACACGUGGGAAACCUGCCCAGAAGCGGGGGAUAACACCUGGAAACAGAUGCUAAUACCGCAUAACAACUUGGACCGCAUGGUCCGAGCUUGAAAGAUGGCUUCGGCUAUCACUUUUGGAUGGUCCCGCGGCGUAUUAGCUAGAUGGUGGGGUAACGGCUCACCAUGGCAAUGAUACGUAGCCGACCUGAGAGGGUAAUCGGCCACAUUGGGACUGAGACACGGCCCAAACUCCUACGGGAGGCAGCAGUAGGGAAUCUUCCACAAUGGACGAAAGUCUGAUGGAGCAACGCCGCGUGAGUGAAGAAGGGUUUCGGCUCGUAAAACUCUGUUGUUAAAGAAGAACAUAUCUGAGAGUAACUGUUCAGGUAUUGACGGUAUUUAACCAGAAAGCCACGGCUAACUACGUGCCAGCAGCCGCGGUAAUACGUAGGUGGCAAGCGUUGUCCGGAUUUAUUGGGCGUAAAGCGAGCGCAGGCGGUUUUUUAAGUCUGAUGUGAAAGCCUUCGGCUCAACCGAAGAAGUGCAUCGGAAACUGGGAAACUUGAGUGCAGAAGAGGACAGUGGAACUCCAUGUGUAGCGGUGAAAUGCGUAGAUAUAUGGAAGAACACCAGUGGCGAAGGCGGCUGUCUGGUCUGUAACUGACGCUGAGGCUCGAAAGUAUGGGUAGCAAACAGGAUUAGAUACCCUGGUAGUCCAUACCGUAAACGAUGAAUGCUAAGUGUUGGAGGGUUUCCGCCCUUCAGUGCUGCAGCUAACGCAUUAAGCAUUCCGCCUGGGGAGUACGGCCGCAAGGCUGAAACUCAAAGGAAUUGACGGGGGCCCGCACAAGCGGUGGAGCAUGUGGUUUAAUUCGAAGCUACGCGAAGAACCUUACCAGGUCUUGACAUACUAUGCAAAUCUAAGAGAUUAGACGUUCCCUUCGGGGACAUGGAUACAGGUGGUGCAUGGUUGUCGUCAGCUCGUGUCGUGAGAUGUUGGGUUAAGUCCCGCAACGAGCGCAACCCUUAUUAUCAGUUGCCAGCAUUAAGUUGGGCACUCUGGUGAGACUGCCGGUGACAAACCGGAGGAAGGUGGGGAUGACGUCAAAUCAUCAUGCCCCUUAUGACCUGGGCUACACACGUGCUACAAUGGAUGGUACAACGAGUUGCGAACUCGCGAGAGUAAGCUAAUCUCUUAAAGCCAUUCUCAGUUCGGAUUGUAGGCUGCAACUCGCCUACAUGAAGUCGGAAUCGCUAGUAAUCGCGGAUCAGCAUGCCGCGGUGAAUACGUUCCCGGGCCUUGUACACACCGCCCGUCACACCAUGAGAGUUU
rnacentral:rRNA from 2 species